GAUGAACGCUGGCGGCGUGCCUAAUACAUGCAAGUCGAGCGAACAGACGAGGAGCUUGCUCCUCUGACGUUAGCGGCGGACGGGUGAGUAACACGUGGAUAACCUACCUAUAAGACUGGGAUAACUUCGGGAAACCGGAGCUAAUACCGGAUAAUAUAUUGAACCGCAUGGUUCAAUAGUGAAAGACGGUUUUGCUGUCACUUAUAGAUGGAUCCGCGCCGCAUUAGCUAGUUGGUAAGGUAACGGCUUACCAAGGCAACGAUGCGUAGCCGACCUGAGAGGGUGAUCGGCCACACUGGAACUGGGACACGGUCCAGACUCCUACGGGAGGCAGCAGUAGGGAAUCUUCCGCAAUGGGCGAAAGCCUGACGGAGCAACGCCGCGUGAGUGAUGAAGGUCUUCGGAUCGUAAAACUCUGUUAUUAGGGAAGAACAAAUGUGUAAGUAACUAUGCACGUCUUGACGGUACCUAGUCAGAAAGCCACGGCUAACUACGUG
rnacentral:rRNA from 1 species